rnacentral:rRNA from 1 species
UAAGUUUGACCUCGGAUCAGGUAGGGAUACCCGCUGAACUUAAGCAUAUCAAUAAGCGGAGGAAAAGAANNCAACAGGGAUUGCCUCAGUAACGGCGAGUGAAGCGGCAACAGCUCAAAUUUGAAAUCUGGGUNNNCAGGCUCCGAGUUGUAAUUUGUAGAAGAUGCUUCGGGUGUGGCUCCGGUCUAAGUUCCUUGGAACAGGACGUCAUAGAGGGUGAGAAUCCCGUACGUGACUGGUCGCCUUCGCCCAUGUGAAGCUCUUUCGACGAGUCGAGUUGUUUGGGAAUGCAGCUCAAAAUGGGUGGUAAAUUUCAUCUAAAGCUAAAUAUUGGCCAGAGACCGAUAGCGCACAAGUAGAGUGAUCGAAAGAUGAAAAGCACUUUGGAAAGAGAGUUAAACAGUACGUGAAAUUGUUGAAAGGGAAGCGCUUGCAACCAGACUUGCACGCUGCCGAUCAUCCGGGGUUCUCCCCCGGUGCACUCGGUUGCGUUCAGGCCAGCAUCGGUUUGGGUGGUUGGAUAAAGGCCUUGGGGAUGUAGCUUCUUUCGGGGAGUGUUAUAGCCCUCGGUGCAAUGCAGCCUACUCGGACCGAGGACCGCGCUUCGGCUAGGAUGCUGGCGUAAUGGUUGUAAGCGACC